AUUGAACGCUGGCGGCAUGCCUUACACAUGCAAGUCGAACGGCAGCACGGGAGCAAUCCUGGUGGCGAGUGGCGAACGGGUGAGUAAAGUAUCGGAACGUACCUUUCAGUGGGGGAUAACGUAGCGAAAGUUACGCUAAUACCGCAUAUUCUGUGAGCAGGAAAGCAGGGGAUCGCAAGACCUUGCGCUGAUGGAGCGGCCGAUAUCAGAUUAGCUAGUUGGUGAGGUAAAAGCUCACCAAGGCGACGAU
rnacentral:rRNA from 1 species